ACUGUAUCAAAUGCCUUGGCAAAAUCCAAAUAGAUCACAUCCACUGCAACACCCUGAUCUAUAUUUCUACUUACUUCUUCGUAGAACGCAAUCAAGUUAAUUUGACAUGACCUGUGCUUCAUAAAACCAUGCUGAUGUAUGCUGAUAACCAUGUUCUUAUCAAGGAUUUCUUGAAUGUUAUCCCUUAAUAACUUUUCAAAAAUUUUCCCAGCCACAGAAGUUAAG